rnacentral:misc_RNA from 1 species
CAGGUUUUGAAUUCGACAUACUUGACUUGCGGUGAUACUGGGGGAACCAACUUGAGCGGUAAAGAGUAUAAUCCGUCUUUAUUCUGGCCGCGGUAGAAAAUCUGAUUCGUACGGGUAUUCUUAAUGAUAAAGAAAUUAGCAAAGAAUUCAACAGAGACAUUAUUGUUAGAUGUCAAUGCAUAAACAGAUAACAGAUUUUUAUGAAUGUCAGGAGCCAACAAAAUGUUAUCAAAAUAAAAAAUGACAUUAUUAGCAGACAUAAGUGAACAUCAGAAUUAGUGGUUGAAAUAUUUUUACCAUUACCAAUUGUUAACGUCUGACUGCCAGGAAAAGGUUGAGGGUGGGAAAUAUUUUCAUUUGCAGAGGUAAUGUGAUAAUUGGCUCCUGAGUCCACUGUCCACAUUUGAGGCUGUUGAGUAUGAUAGGCUGCAUAAUAGGACUGGGGUCCACGUGAUGGUUGAAGCUGUUGUCCCAUACGUAGCUGUUGAGAAUUGGAGAAUUGAUUCUUUGGGGAAGGACAUUGUCUAGCCAUGUGCCCUUGUCCCCUACAGUUAUGACAUAUAAGAGGCCCACCAGGUGCACUGUUAUGGUUAUUCAUGGCUUUCUG